AUAAGUAGAUAGGAUCAUAUAGAAAAGUAGUUGUAUUCAGAUAAAGUUUUAAUCGUUUAUUUCAGAUACGAUAAGAAACGAUAGAAUUUUAUAACUUUUCUAUCUGGCAGGAAAUCUAGUGUCCGAUAGAAACGAUAGAUUCAGAUAAAAUCAUAUUAAAUUUCUAUCAAAUUUCUAUGUUUCUAUCAGUUUCUAUCGUACUUUUUAAACAGGGAGCGUCUCCCCGAACGCACCCUUAAGUUGCGUUCCGAUACUGUCAGUAUUGAAAAUCUACAGUAUAUGUGACGUAAACUAUAGAUUUUCAGUACUGGCAGUGAAUAUCGGAACGCAGCCAUAGAAGAUGCCUCGUAUGCGUUCUAGCAUGAAAAAUCGUAUUGUGUACCAAAGACUUUAUUUUAAACAAAUUGUAGAUUUUGAACACAGAUAAUAUAAUUUGUAAACAAGCAAUUUUUGAUGCCUAAAUAAUUUGAUCGAAAUUAACUGAUUUCCGAUGUCAAUUUCGAUUCAAUGAGUUUUGACGGCAUUGACGUUGUUUUAACAUCGAUUCGACAUCAUUUUUUUCAGAUACUGUUUGCACCUUUAUUAUGACAUCGAAAUAAUUUCGAAAUAUUUGAAAUUUCGAUGUUUAGUAAUCGGCAAAAUGGUGAUCGAUAAAAUUUGAUUGAAUCGAUAUCGAUUUGAUGUCAAUUCGAUCUAUCAUUUCUCACUGGGAAGUGUAUCGUAUCCUCGUGACGUAUUGCGUGCCUCAGAAAUUGUCCUGCAAUGACUUCGCGUCGUGGUUUACACAUGCAAGCACGUCAAAGCACGUGCUCGCUGUAUACGCACUCACGUCUUACGUGUACAACGCUACAGUUUUGAAGAUUUGACACCAAGCCGCGGCUGUAGACGGAGGAAGAAGAACUACAAGCAAGAACUAAUCAUAUAACAGACUUAAUAAGCGCUCACAUACGAUUGGUUGUUGCCAUUAUUUCUUUUUUCCCUCCAUAGUCGCAGCUCGAUGCCAAAUCUUCCUGCGCAUGUAGUAUGUACGUUGAACACAGUUGAGCAGACGCUAGACACGGCGAGCAUGUCCUUGCAUGUGCGUACUCAGACGUUCGAUUACUGUGUCACGUUUUUAUAGUAAAAUAUAAACGCUGUGUCACAUUUUUAUAGUAUCUAAUGUCUACGUAAUCACAUGUAAUAAUUCAACAUAAGUUAGUAAUAUCUUAAUGAUUGUUCCUUUUGAUGUGACCUUUUAAAGUAAGAAGAUCAUAAAAGUGCUUUCUACGACAACCUGCUUUUUAUAAAUAUUAAUCUUACAGAAAUAUAGUCAAUUAUGAGCGUUAUCGAAAAAAACCAAACAAAAGAUGCAUUUUAUAUUAUUUUACUAAAUGAUGGCUUAGUCACAGUGCCGAAGCAAUGGUCAACAAAUGAUAAAAAGUAUACAUUUUGAUCUAUGUAAAUUUAGCACAAUUAGUUAAUUUAAUUCAAUCAUGUGCUGAAAUAAAUACACAAUGGAUGGCAAAAUGUGAAAUAUAAUUCAUAUAUGGAACAGCAGGUGUACGAAGUAAAUUCAAAGAUGUCAGUGAAAGGGGUGUAAAUGCACCUCUUAAAAUUUGGUUAUCUCACGCACAAGAUCGAUUAAAAAAAGACAAGAAUAAUUAAAAUUAUUUUUCUUGGAAUUUAACUUACAAUUAGAACUUAAUUUACAACUCAUGUUAUUUACAAAAAGAAACUUUAAGUUUAAAAAU